UAGGGGUUGUAUGUGUGACGUUUCAUCUCUCACGCUUAGACUCUCUUCUCACCUUCGUUCUCCAACGGUGACGAAGAAAUUCACUUCUCUCCCCGAUUGGAAAAUCAAACUCCACCGUGAAUACUGUCCGAUCACCACCACGACUAACCCUAUCGUCUCAACCUCUCCUCUUCUAAUUCUACAAAGAUCUCUCUGAAUCUACCAAAUUCAAAACCCUAUUUCUCCGCCGCCACCCAUUCCUUCACCACUUUCCGACCACCACGACUCCCAGCAUCAUUUCGUUUCUUUGAUAAAACGAUUAGGUCGUCUUCUCCUUUCUUUUCCUUCUCUGUGUCGAAAUGGAGCUGUUUGAAACGGAACCACCGUGCCGGUUUCUCUCAGGCCACCGCGAGCUUCAUCUCCUCCAAGGGAAGGAUCUUGUCAAUUAGAGAAAUAAGGGAAAUAUUUGUGAUAGUCUCUUACAAAAACUUGUCAAUUUAACAGGGUCAGCCCCUCUGAAUUUGUUAUUCCGUUGGCUAAGUAUAAGAGUCGGAGAAAUUCAUUCACCAUUUACAAUAUAUAGCCUUGUUGCAUCCUUCUGUGUUAUUGACUUGGUUGUACAUAAAUUUAUUAAAAAAGAAUUGGGUACCUUAUCACAACCUCUAAGGAGUGACAAGAGUUGGAUUUCUUCUACUAACAUAUAAUAUAUAGAUCCCUUUAUGUGUCUUUGGAUGGAUAUCUAGUAUCUACUAUGAAGGUUUGCCCGUUCUUUGUAUAAAUCUUUGGUCUAUUUUGGGUCUUGUCUAGUCUAGAAGUACUUUUAAAGGUGCACACACAUACAUUCUGCUAUAGCCAAACCCCAAAUGCACCAAUAUGUACAUAAGUUGUAAUACACUCUAAAUUUAUGUAGCCUUACACUUUCCAAAACUUAAAAAAUAAACCUUUAAUAAUUGCUCUCUUUGUGGAGGCGUGGAAGUCGAGAUUGAGAGGUGCGCGGCGGAGUUUAACAUGCUGUGGUUUCAAGUUGAAAAUCACACUAUUUCAUAAUAUUUCGUAAUAAAUAGCGUAACAUGAAAGAAUAGUGAUUCAUUCAAAUUCCACUGAGCAAUAGCACUAUAGCCACUAUUUAACUGUGGAGGUGCUGCUCACCUCUUAGAUCGGCCUGUGAAGGUAUAUGUUUUUUCUGGAAUCCUUAAAGCCUUUGUGUGGCUGCUGUACAUGUGUGCAAACACAGUAUGUUUAAAGCAUGACAAUUCGUGGGCAUUUAGACAUAUUUAUCGGGGUAAUGUCACUCUUAGAAUCAUCUUUCAAUGAUUUGACCAAGUUUUUAUGAAUUUUUUAUGAUGUUUGAGUGCUGAAAUUGAUAGCACGUUGACCACAGGACAACCAAAGAGACAUUUAUUUACUACUGGUUGGAGUGUAUUUAUCAGCACAAAAAGACUUUUCGCCGGAGAUUCUGUUCUUUUUAUCAGUUUCUCAAGGGAAUUCUCAGAGUUCUAGGAUUCAAGCAUUUAGUACAAACUGAAAUUGUGUUGAUGAUAGAGAUGUAUGAUGAUGUGUCGGUAAAUUACUUUUUUUAAAAAGCAGACAUGUGUGCGGAUGCUUCGACAAACUGAAAUAGUGUUGAUGAUUUAUUGAGUAAAGUUGUGUUUUAACUUACAAGCUGUGUUAAUUUACCGGUUGUGUCGGUGUUUGUUGUUUUGAUUUUUCUGAAUGAAUUUUGUAGGCUGAAUUUGAAUGAAGUUUUGAAUGAGGUUAAUGGUAGUUAUAAAAAACUUGCCAAGAUUAAGGAAGAACAAGUGCUUAUAGCCGAGGCUGCUGAUAUUAAUGAAGCUUUCUCAGUAGGCUACUUAGUGUUGGAUUGGUCGGCGGCCUCGUCUUGUUCCUUAAAGGGGUGGACUUGAAUGAUUACUGCUCUUGGUGCCACUAUCUAACUUGUGCCCCUCCAAGCUGUAAACCUGGCUAUAUUUCUUGUGAGGAUAACCAGAUUGGAAACCAACUUAACGUGGCAUGCAAGAACAAUGGGAGAAAUGGCAUUUUUCCUCUGUCAAACGGUAACCCUUACGAGCAGGCUGAAGAGCUAUGUUAUCGCCUUUGCGGUAAAUAGCCAGACAUGCAAAUACAACAUCUCUUAGGGUGAUACCAUUCAAUAAAGUUACAUAUAUGAUGUGUUCUUACUGCUACUUCUGAGAAAAAGAAUGAAUCAGUAUGGUUGUUCCCAUAGUUGUUGUCUCUACUAUCAUUAGUACAUUAUUUAUAGCUGAUAUUAGAAUCUUGUAGUUAAGAAAUUACUCUGCAGGAUAAGUAUUUAAUAAGUUUGUGUUAUGAAUGUUACUGAAUCUUGUCAUAUUAAAUAUUUCACCAUUUGGAUAUGUCUUGAGUCAUUAUGUCAUGCUCAAAGGGCUUAACACAACACUGCAUGUCAAAAAUUAGGUCACAUUAGUUCAUAUUCCCUCUGUUAUGAUAGCGAGAAAAAUGCAUUUUGUUUUUACUUGAUUAAUUUUUGUUUUUUUGGUCUUUGAUG